rnacentral:rRNA from 1 species
GUCUACGGCCAUGCUACCCUGAACAAGCCCAAUCCUGUCUGAUCUUGGAAGCUAAGCAGGGUCGGGCCUGGUUAGUACUUGGAUGGGAGACUACCUAGGAAGACCAGGUGCUGUAGGCU